rnacentral:rRNA from 1 species
GAUCAUGGCUCAGGACGAACGCUGGCGGCGCGCCUAACACAUGCAAGUCGAACGAGCGAGAGAGAGCUUGCUUUCUCGAGCGAGUGGCGAACGGGUGAGUAACGCGUGGGGAACCUGCCUCAAAGAGGGGGACAACAGUUGGAAACGACUGCUAAUGCCGCAUAAGCCCACGGCUCGGCAUCGAGCAGAGGGAAAAGGAGCAAUCCGCUUUGAGAUGGCCUCGCGUCCGAUUAG